UAAUAAGUGUUUUAUGGCACUUUUUAAAUCCAUAUCCACCUUGUGUGCAAUGUCAGUCGGUUUUCUUUUUCGUCAAGAAAAAGAGGAUCGACCAAACAUCAACUUAUUCUAAUUGACUUUUGUCUGAAAACUAUUAUGAAUAAACUAAUUCAAAAUA
rnacentral:misc_RNA from 1 species